UCCCUCUAAAAUUUUUUUGGCCCAAAACCCUUCCCUCUUUUGUCCCAAACUGUUCCAAAAUUUCAUCAAACAUUAAAAGCUGCUAUGUUGGAAAUGGAACGAUUGGUGCCUUACUCAAACGGAAGUUUUAAAUUGAGGUGAGAAGAGUUGAGAACAAAGUGGCGAAUGGGUGUGUAACGCAGUGCGAAUCUGCCGAACAGUCUCGGGCCAAAUCCUGAAGAAAGCUAAAAAGCGCUUUUUGAUGAGCCUAAUCAUUGUGGCGAUAAAUUGGAAGCGGUACCAUCUUUGUAUAUAUCCGUUGCACAUUUGGAUCGUGGUUGACUACACUACAGUGUUUCUUUUUCGGCCCUUGAUGUUUGUUGAUAAUGAACUUGCUCCUGGAAUGGGAUUUUAAGGACGGUGGACGCGAAACUGGAACAAACAGAUUGUAUAAUUUCUAAAGGAAGUUGCCUUCAAUAACCUUUUCCAACUUUACAAUCUAGUUAAGUAGUUCUUUUAGACAAAGCAAGGUAUAUACUUUUCUCUAUUUUCUAUUACUCUUGUAGUAAGCUGCUGGCACUAUACUCAUGGGAGAUAUUGGUCAUCAAAAUAUCUUGCAACUCGUACAAGAUUUGAUUCAGAGAAGCACAACUAGUUGGGUAGGGUUUAACUUGUACUGUCUC